UUAAUUAAUCUCUACACUCAACGUGGGGCUCCAAUUUAUAACCCGAGAUCAGAAAUCACAGGCACCACCGACUGAGCCAGCCAGGUGCCCCCUAAUCUCAGACUCUGGACUGGCUACUUGGACUUGCUCUGGACAGAAGCUCACAGUAUUCGGAUCCCACUGAAGUAUCCCAGGGCCCAGUUGAUAGGCUGGCUAUGUCCCUCCCUUUUGGCAGAGGAAAGGCCAGGCCAGGACUGUAACUGAGGGCCUCCUUACACUUUGUGCCCCCCGGGGCCUCCGUUGCCACACCACAGUCCCAGCCUUGGAGAGGUAUUGCUCUUCCACAGAGAGUGGGGCUCCGAACUAGGACAUGCCUGGUCUAACCUCACGCCUCUACACUCGCUGGCCAGCUCUCACUCCUCUGACAUGGCUCCUUCCAGCUCAGAGCCUCUGCAAGGCUGUUCCUACUGUUGAAAAUAUCCACCCUCACUUCUCCUAUCCACCCCCACUCCAUUCAGCUGCUAAAUUUCAGCUUAAAUCCCAUACCCUAAGGGCAGCAAGCCCAGACGAGGCAUGUGCCCCAGCCUUAUCUCCCGCACUUGCCUCCCUGCGUAUAUAUCAUAUCGUGGUUUAAUUAAGUCAUUUGUGCCCCAUUUGUUUGAUGUUACCUCACCCACCGGACGGUGAGUUCUUUUGGGUGAGGACUGUCUUCUUCACUCUGUGUCUCCAUUACCAGCACAUACGAGGCACUCAACAACUUAAUUAUCCAUUUCUUCUCUGGGCCUCAGUUUCCCUGUAUAUGAAACAGGCUUGAUAAUUUUUCCCCAGAUCACACAGUGUGCUCCAAAACACAAAAUGAAAUGACAAAGUGUUUGGAGAGGGCUUGAGAAUGGCGAAAGUGUUGUAUGGCAUAACGGAUAAGAGGUACCAAUCUUUUUGUGACACAGGUCAUCAACUUUCUAGCUGACUCUUUGAGCCUCGGCUCUGCAAGAGGGCGCAGACUUAUUUUCUGUCACCACUGCGCCUGGAGUGUAAGCCCCAUGAGAUGAGGAAAUUGAGGCCCAGAGAGGUGGAGUCACUUGCCCGAAGCCACACAGCCGUGACAGGGACGGCCCAGUUUGUACAGCCUCCGUGACACCCAUGUGCCUGCAUGGACUCUCUCUCUGCCAGUACUAGGACGGUCACUCCCAUUUUACAGGUAAGGACACUGGGGUUGGGCGUACAAAUCAUAGGGCUAGCAAAUCGUGGAUUUGGGGUCUCUGUCAAGGCCCUUAGACCACGAGGCGAGUGUAUUUUCCUCUGCACCUUUUUGCGCAAGAGACAGAAGCAAAAGAAAUGAGGAGGACACUGGAAGAGAGGGGUGAGAGAAGCUGGCUCUGUGUGGAGUAAACAUGUUUUUUAUUCCAGGCAUCACCAAGAGGAAGUCGAAACGCCUGGAGCAUUUGUGAUGCCGCUGGUUAAUUGUCAGUUCUGUCUUAGUGUGCCUGUGCUCCAAACAUUUCUUCUCAUUAUAAUCUAGUGCAGUGUUGAAGGCCAUGCUAAUGGGGAAACCAGAUAACCAAAGCCUGUUAAUUAGAAGGCAGAUUAAAUCGUGUCUGAAAGGGGAGAGUCAGGGCUGUGCUAUUCUCUUUGCUGAGAGCUGAACGUAUGGAAACACCAGCCUAUUAUUCAUGACAUCUGACACCGAGUUUAAAGCUGCUUUUUUGGAAGAGACUCUCUUUCUAAAUUUUAAACUUUCUGUUGUAUUUUAUGUGUGCUUCUUUGUGGGCCUCAGGGAGAGUGAGCCCUGGGGACUGAGUGGUUGCCUUUGAGGUAGCUCGUGAAAGCGGACAGUCACCGUAAUGGUUUCCCAAGCAGAGGUGGCACCAUCAGCCGCCGAGCGACACAUGCCUUAUCACUCUCAUGCCAAAGUCAGGUGGGUAAUAAACGAGCCCAGGGCAGUUCUCUAAAGUCAAGGGCAGCAUGGAAAGAAGCAGCAGGAAGUUGCAUGUUGAUGAGGAAAGGUGUGUACCCAUAUCCUAGAAAUCCUCACAGCUUUGCUAAGCGACUUAAGAAAGACUGUCUCCAUUGUUCUAUUGAAAGACUGCUGUGUUCAUGUUUGAUCGAGGAAUAUUUUUUUAAAAUAUGGGAAGGAAAAGUGAGGUUGAGUAUCUUCCUGAACUCUGAGAAAGUCUUCAUGCCAUCUUUUGUGUUCCUGUAACUCGAGAGCAGGGGAUGGAACCCCUGAGUCAGAGAACUUGGGAACAGUGGCCUCCACCUCUAUCCGGGCCCUACCGACUGCCCUUGACUGACAGAGGAAUCCCUAGAUUGUCUCAGCCUGCACACCUCAGCCUCAUUGCUCCUGCUUUGGACCAGCCUUUACCCUGGAGGUCUUUCUCAACAGCAGACUUUUCCUCUCACUUUGAGAACAGUGGGUUUCCCCCAUGAUUUGUCUCCUAAAUGUGCAUAUCCUAAUCAUAUUCUGCUGUGUGUAUGUGUGAUCUAUGCUGUGAAGUGCUCACAGAAGUGGGUUCUUUAUCUCUACCCCACCCGCCCCAUGCCCUGUGCAGGCCUGAGUAUGUAUUGGAACGCAUGAGUGUUGAGGCUGCACUCAUGGAAAGCCUCUGUUCACAGAGAGGGUGAAGGACACUAGCCGCAGGCUGGGCUCCCACCCAGAAGGGACCAAAUGGCAAGCAGUGGCCAAGAUGCAGCUUCUGUGCAAAACUGUAAACGGUUUAGGUGAAUCUCUGGUCUAUUUUCCCUUUUGUACAAAAUAAAUCUGUCCAAUUCCUUUGUCUUCUUGUAGAAAGCACAGACUUAGCUAGCAUUUGUCAAAUUCUGUGCUUCCUUUUGCCAGACUCCCAACAGGACAAGGAAUGUUUUAUCUGCUUCCUGAAGGCACUGAGGCAGCUGCUUACCAGAAAGACCACUAGACUGAGGGUCAGGCCACCUGAGUCCCAGGCCUGUCUGUAAUUAGCCGUGUGGCUCUACAUAAGUCCUGUUCUCCACUGGGCCCAGCCGCUCCCUCUGUAGAAUGAACACAGUGGGCUAUGGGCCAUAAUAGCAUUCUUAGCCAGAGCCCAGCUUCAUGCGGUGACAGUGGGUGCAGUGUUCUGGGGAGAGGACAUCCAGAGUUCCUCAGACUCUCCAAGGGGUCACCGUGACCCCUCAAACAUAAAACCCAAUUGGUUUGGACCUUCCCUGAGGCCUUUUUCGGGCUAAUAAUUGAUUCUGAAAUCUCUUUCCUUCUGUUUCACCAGUGGGGACUUAAGUCUAUAAGAAAAGCUAUUUUUUAAAAAUGUCUUAACGUUUAUUUAUUCUGAGGGAGAGAGAGACAGAGAAAGAGAGAGAGAGAGUGAGCAGGGGAGGGGCAGAGAGAGGGA